rnacentral:misc_RNA from 1 species
GAAAUGCGAUAAGUAGUGUGAAUUGCAGAAUUCAGUGAAUCAUCGAAUCUUUGAACGCACAUUGCGCCCUUUGGUAUUCCUUAGGGCAUGCCUGUUCGAGCGUCAUCUAAACCUUCAAGCCCUGCUUGGUGUUGGGUGCCUGUCCCGCCUCCGCGCGCGGACUCACCUCAAAUCCAUUGGCGGCCCCCGCGUCGGCCACGAGCGCAGCAGAAACGCGAACUCGUGAGCCCGUCCGGGCGGCUCCCAGAAGCUACACCCACCCAGUUUGACCUGGGAUCAGGUAGGGAUACCCGCUGAACUUAAGC